rnacentral:rRNA from 1 species
GAGGAACGCUGGCGGCGUGCUUAACAUAUGUAAGAGGAACGGUAAGGCUCCAUCUUUUGGGGUACACGAGUGGCGAAUUAGUGAGUUACACGUGGGUGACCUGCCCUGCUCUUCGGGAUAAUCCUGGGAAACUGGGUCUAAUACCAAAUAGGACCUCACCGUGAGGGUGUGGUGGAAACCCUCUCUUCGUGGG